rnacentral:lncRNA from 1 species
UGGCAUCCUUCAAACUGCAGUGCAGAUUUUAUUGAUAAAGUGCGAUAGUCCUAGAUUUGUUCAAGUUUUUGGUUAUCUGAUUAUGUCAGUUUUGCAACUCAUCAUUUGAACGUAUUGAGAAUAACAGAAAGUUUAGUAAUGUCAAUACAUGCUGUCGUAGUGUUGUAAUCAUCAUGGUAUCAGAUUAUUACAAGAGCUGUCUAAUGUAUGGAUGGGUAAUCUUGACAUGUAAUGUUUCCCAUGCUUCUUUAAAUCCAGCAUCUGGUACAUCUCAGCACAAGAAAAAAGUGGGAAGCAGUUUCUUGGAUUCGUUUUUGUUUGACUCCCUAGAUUAUCAUUAGAUUAUGUGUUCAGUCUCCAGUUAAUUGCCACUUUACCAUGGCUUACCAAUGCAAAUCAAAAUGAAAGCUUUUGUCUGAAGUACUGAGUAGGUGGUUAUUGUAUGUAUUCUCAAUGCUUACGACACGUGAGAUUUCAUAGGAAUAUCCUGCAUCACGGUGCAUGUUGUCGGCCUCUUACUUAAGCAUCC